UUACGGAGGGUGCAAGCGUUGUUCGGAAUUAUUGGGCGUAAAGCGCGUGUAGGCGGCUUGGUAAGUCAGGUGUGAAAGCCCUUAGCUCAACUAAGGAAAGUCAUCUGAAACUGCCAGGCUUGAGUACGGGAGAGGAGAGUGGAAUUCCCGGUGUAGAGGUGAAAUUCGUAGAUAUCGGGAGGAACACCCGUGGCGAAGGCGACUCUCUGGACCGAUACUGACGCUGAGACGCGAAAGCGUGGGGAGCAAACAGGAUUAGAAACCCUAGUAGUCC
rnacentral:rRNA from 1 species